rnacentral:rRNA from 1 species
CAUGCAGUCGAACGCGAAAGUUCCUUCGGGGAUAGUAGAGUGGCGCACGGGUAAGUACACGUAGGUAAUCUACCUUCGGGUGGGGAAUUAACCCAGGGAAACUUGGGCUAACACCGCAUGAUGCAGCGGCACCACAUGGUGACAGUUGUUAAAGCGGGGGAUUUUCGGACCUCGCGCCUGAAGAGGAGCCUGCGGCGGAUUAGCUAGUUGGUGAGGUAACGGUCACCAAGGUCACGAUCCGUACCGGCUGAAGGGCGGUCGGCCACACUGACACUGACAUACGGGUCAGACUCCUACGGGAGGCAGCAGUCGGGAAUUUUGGGCAAUGGGCGAAAGCCUGACCCAGCAACGCCGCGUGAAGGAUCGAAAUCCCUCGGGAUGUAAACUUCGCAAGAAUGGGAAGAAUGAACGAGCGCUAAUACCGUCCGUGAUGACGGUACCAUUUGUUAAGCUACCGGCUAAACUACCCGUGCCAGCAGCCGCGGUAAAUAACGGGGGGGAGCAAAGGCCG